CAAGUGGUAGGAGAGCGUUCUAUUUGCGUCGAAGGUAUACCGGUAAGGAGUGCUGGAGCGAAUAGAAGUGAGCAUGCAGGCAUGAGUAGCGAUAAUUAAUGUGAGAAUCAUUAACGCCGUAAACCCAAGGUUUCCUACGCGAUGCUCGUCAUCGUAGGGUUAGUCGGGUCCUAAGUCGAGUCCGAAAGGGGUAGACGAUGGCAAAUUGGUUAAUAUUCCAAUACCAACAUUAGUGUGCGAUGGAAGGACGCUUAGGGCUAAGGGGGCUAGCGGAUGGAAGUGCUAGUCUAAGGUCGUAGGAGGUUAUACAGGCAAAUCCGUAUAACAAUACUCCGAGAACUGAAAGGCUUUUUGAAGUCUUCGGAUGGAUAGAAGAACCCCUGAUGCCGUCGAGCCAAGAAAAGUUUCUAAGUUUAGCUAAUGUUGCCCGUACCGUAAACCGACACAGGUGGGUGGGAUGAGUAUUCUAAGGCGCGUGGAAGAACUCUCUUUAAGGAACUCUGCAAAAUAGCACCGUAUCUUCGGUAUAAGGUGUGGUUAGCUUCGUACUAGGAUUUACUCCGAAAGCGAAGAAACUUACAACAAAGAGUCCCUCCCGACUGUUUACCAAAAACACAGCACUCUGCUAACUCGUAAGAGGAUGUAUAGGGUGUGACGCCUGCCCGGUGCUCGAAGGUUAAUUGAUGGGGUUAGCAUUAGCGAAGCUCUUGAUCGAAGCCCGAGUAAACGGCGGCCGUAACUAUAACGGUCCUAAGGUAGCGAAAUUCCUUGUCGGUUAAAUACCGACCUGCAUGAAUGGCGUAACGAGAUGGGAGCUGUCUCAAAGAGGGAUCCAGUGAAAUUGUAGUGGAGGUGAAAAUUCCUCCUACCCGCGGCAAGACGGAGAGACCCCGUGGACCUUUACUACAGCUUGACACUGCUAUUUGGAUAAGAAUGUGCAGGAUAGGUGGGAGGCUUUGAGUAUAUGACGCCAGUUGUAUAUGAGCCAUUGUUGAGAUACCACUCUUUCUUAUUUGGGUAGCUAACCAGCUUGAGUUAUCCUCAAGUGGGACAAUGUCUGGUGGGUAGUUUGACUGGGGCGGUCGCCUCCCAAAUAAUAACGGAGGCUUACAAAGGUUGGCUCAGAACGGUUGGAAAUCGUUCGUAGAGUAUAAAGGUAUAAGCCAGCUUAACUGCAAGACAUACAAGUCAAGCAGAGACGAAAGUCGGUCUUAGUGAUCCGGUGGUUCUGUGUGGAAGGGCCAUCGCUCAAAGGAUAAAAGGUACCCCGGGGAUAACAGGCUGAUCUCCCCCAAGAGCUCACAUCGACGGGGAGGUUUGGCACCUCGAUGUCGGCUCAUCGCAUCCUGGGGCUGGAGCAGGUCCCAAGGGUAUGGCUGUUCGCCAUUUAAAGCGGUACGCGAGCUGGGUUCAGAACGUCGUGAGACAGUUCGGUCCCUAUCUGCCGUGGGCGUAAGAAGAUUGAAGAGAUUUGACCCUAGUACGAGAGGACCGGGUUGAACAAACCACUGGUGUAGCUGUUGUUCUGCCAAGAGCAUCGCAGCGUAGCUAAGUUUGGAAAGGAUAAACGCUGAAAGCAUCUAAGCGUGAAGCCAACUCUAAGAUGAAUCUUCUCUAAGCUCUCUAGAAGACUACUAGUUUGAUAGGCUGGGUGUGUAAUGGAUGAAAGUCCUUUAGCUGACCAGUACUAAUAGAGCGUUUGGCUUAUCUUUAAUAAAGCAU
rnacentral:rRNA from 1 species